UACGUAGGGUGCAAGCGUUAAUCGGAAUUACUGGGCGUAAAGCGUGCGCAGGCGGUUCGGAAAGAAAGAUGUGAAAUCCCAGGGCUUAACCUUGGAACUGCAUUUUUAACUACCGGGCUAGAGUGCGUCAGAGGGGGGUGGAAUUCCGCGUGUAGCAGUGAAAUGCGUAGAUACGCGGAGGAGCACCGAUGGCGAAGGCAGCCCCCUGGGAUGACACUGACGCUCAUGCACGAAAGCGUGGGGAGCAAACAGG
rnacentral:rRNA from 1 species